rnacentral:lncRNA from 1 species
UUUACUGAGUGUUUUAUGUUAAUAUUAUUAUUUAAUAUUAUUUUUUCAUAUCAAAUAAAAUAAGAGGGUGAUCCCGAUCAUGUCAACCUGAUUAUGGAAACAUGGAGGAAACAAGAAAAGGAAAAAUUAAAGUUGUGUAGGAGUGAAAUUAGAUAGAGGUUCAUACAGCCAAUAAGAAUACAAGAAAAUUACUAUUGAAAAGGAUAAGAAAACAAAUAGCA